GGAGCCGUAGGCAACGGUGGAGCCUACGACCCUGCUCGCACUCCAGCCGGCGGGAGGGACGCGUCCAGGGUUUUCGCAAGAUCCAGCUGAUAGUCCCUGGAAUCUGGUGGCGCGCAGCGUGGACGGCAGCAGGUGUCCGGUCAGCGAGUUGCGGAGGAUAGUGCGGGUAGCAGAGGGAGGGCGAGUGCCCCUGCGGCCCCAGACUGCGACCAGAACAUGCAUCACGGUUAGAACCAUCACCCUGAAGCUAGCUUGGACACCAUUAAAAGGGCUCAUCAGCUGCAAACGGAUAAAAGUAUCUGAUAUUUGUGAAGACAGUUUCAGGGCUUCUACCUGGAGCUACACUCUCCAGAAGCCCCCGCUUGGCUUCCCUGCACCCAACCCUACCCCAACUGGUCACAACUUGGCUGUAUGUGGUGUUUCUUGGCAACUGGACCAGACUCCUCCAGCAGCUCCACAGGCCCCUUGUCUUCUGUGGGCAGAAGACUGCAGAAGCUGGCUACUGAAGAGGCUGUCCAAGUGAUAGAGCUCCUCCUUGGGCUCCUUAGCACACUUACCACAGAGCAGUGAGUGCUGGCUGUUACUCAUUUGUGCUCACCACCUGCAGGGACUUCAGAGGGAUUGUCAGACCCUGUUGAGCUAAGGGCUGCCCUCUAAGGAUCUCCACAGGAGGCUGCCCAUAGGGAGAGGUGGCCUACCUAGGGUCUCCACUGCCUUAGGUUCUACAUGGACACCGCCAGGGCUGAGGGAAUCAGUAUCUCUUCACCUACCUGUAAUCCACAUAGCAACUGGAAAAUUCUGCCUCCUGUUGUUUGUCCUUUUGUUCGUUUUUUGCGGUAGGAAGAGUUUUAACUGCUGCUUCAAUUCCUUUAGUAGUUAGAGGACGAUUCAGGAUUUCUUUUUCUUUUUGAGUCAGUUUUGGUAAGUUCAAGUGUGCUAGGAAUUGGUCCGUUUUGUCUGCGUUCUCAAAUUUAUUGGCUUAAACUUCCCUUAUAUUUUUUAUUCUCUGCGGUAUAUAAUCUGUAGUUAUGUCUCCUUUUUCAUUGCUGAUAUUGGUUAUUUGUGCCUUCUCACUUUUUUUCUUGAUCAAUCUCGCCAGAGGUUUGUCUAUUUUAUUAGUGUUUUCAAAGAACCAACUUUUGGCUUUGUUGCUUCUCUCUAUUGUAUCUUUGUUUUCUAUUUCUUUAAUUUCUGCUCUUAUCUUUUUUGAUCUCCUUCCUUCUACAUUUUUUGGAUUUAUUCUGUUGUUCUUUUUUUAAUUUGAUACUGAGCUCAUUGUCAGCCUUCCUUGUUUUUUGAUUUGUGCGCUUAAGGAUAUAAAUUGCCCUCUAAAUACUGCUUUUCUGUAAGUUCAGACAUGUCUUAUUUCAUCAUUGUUCGGUUCCGAGUACUUCAAUAUUUCCAUCAUGUUUACUUCUUUGACCUGUGAGUUGUAUAGAAGUAUGUUUUUAAAUAUCUAAAUGUUUGGGGAUUUUAAAAUUUAUCUCUUUGUAAUUGAAAUCUGUCUUAAUUGUAUUAUGGUUAGAGGGUGUGGUCUGUAUGAUAACAACUCUGAAAUUUAUUGAGACUUGAUUAUGGCUUAGUAUGUGAUUAAUAUUUUUGAAUGUUUCCUAUGUGCUUUAUAAGAAUUAUGUUCUUUAAUUGUUGAAUACAGAGUUCUCUACAUGUCUAUUACCAAGUUUGUUAAUUGUAUUGUGCAAAUUUUCUAUAUCUACACUGAUUUUUUUGGUCAUCAUAUACCAAUAAUUGUAAGAGGUACGUUAAUAUUCAACUGUGAUGGUGGAUUGGUCUACUUCUCCUUGUAGUUCUUAUUUUUUAAUUUUCUAUAUUUUGAGGAUAUUUUAUUAGGAAUAUUCAAAUUAAGAAUUGUUAUAUAUUCCUGGUAAAUAUGUAAUGACCCUCUCUAUUCCUGAUAAUGCAGUUUUCCUUGAAGUCUAUUUUACCUUACAACACAAACUUUUCUUCUUGUUAGGAUUUAUGUGGUAUGUAUUUUUCCAUCCUUUUACUUUUCAACAUUUUCAUGCCCUUAUGCUUUAAUUGUAUCUCUUGGGUAUGGCAUGUGGCUGAACCUUUUUUAAAAAGCUAAUCUGAUGAUCCCUGUCUUUUAAUGAACAAGUUUAAUCUGUUUACAUUUACCAUGAUAUAUUUGGACUGGUUUCUACCAUCAUACUUUUUUAUUUCUAUUUCCUACCCCUUUUCUGUACUUCAUUUUUCUUUUCUUGCCACUUUUUCAGUUUUGAGAUUUGUUUGAUUUCUUAUUCAAUUUUUUUUCUCCCUCCUGUUUGGAAUUUACAUGUUCUUUUACUAUUCUUUCUGUGGUUAUCCUGAAAUUUUACCAUGCAUGUUUAACUUUAAGAUCCAAAGUUAAACUGUACUUUAACCACCCUCUUGAAGAACACAGGAACUUUCAGCUGUAGUCAUCCCUCUCUUGACCACAUGCUGUUGCUUUGAAUAUGUUGAUUUGCUCCUUUUUUUUCUAACCUCAGAAAAUCUACAUCAUCAUUAGUAUUAUUUUAUAUGGACAGUGUUUGUUUGGAUUUACAUGCAUACAUUCUUGCAUCUCAGACCAUCAUUCUGGGAUCAUUUUCCUUCAUUAUGAAUAUAAUAUUUAGAUAUUCUUUUAGUGCAGAUCUCUUGGUGUUAAAUUCUCCCCGUCUUCUUUUAUCCUCAUUGUUAAAAGAUAGUUUGUUAUAGGUAUUUAGAAGUCUGCUAUCAGUCUAGUUGCUGGUUUUUUGUAGGUGUUUUUGUUUUCUUAUAUUCUGUCUACUCUUAUUUAUUUAUUUAUUUAUUUAUUUAUUUAUUUAUUUAAUUCUGGCUACUUUUAAGAUCUUUUCUCUCUUUUUUUGGAGGGGGAUGUGCAGGGGUCUCUGCAGUUUCAUUCUAAGCUGUUUCAGCAUGUAUUUCUUUUUCAUUUAUUCUACUUUGGAAAUGUGUUUCAUGCCUCUGGAUUUAUGUUUUUCAUAAUUUCUAGAAAAUUCUCAGCCAUUUCUUCAAAUAUUGCCUUUCUCUCAUUCUUUAUAUAUUUUCUUUCUCAGAAUCCAGUUACUCAUAUUUUGGACCUCCUCAUUAUAUCUUCCAUAUCUCAUAACAUCCCAUUGAUAUUCUCUGUCUCCUUGUCUUCCUGCACAUAAUUCUGGGAAAUUUCUUCAGAUCUAUUUUUCAGCUUACUGAUUCUUUCUUCAGCUAUGUCUGAUCUGCUGUUGAAUCUGUCCACUAAGUUUUUUAUUUCAACAGUUGUGUUUUUCAUUUGUAUGAGCUCCAUAUAUUUCACUUUCUAAUCUGCCUCGUCCCUAAUAGUCUCUUGUUACUCGUUCAUGUUUGUAGUUGCGUCUGUUGUUUCUUUAAACAUUUUAUAUAAUUUUUGUUUAACCAAUAAUCACUGUUUGCAUAAGUACGACACUGUAAAUAUAAUUCACAAUCUAAACCACAUAGUACACUCUGAUUAUAUAGCCUUUGUUGUAUACCUUUUUGUUUUCUUGGUAAUUAUCUGUGUUUUCUUUUGCCUAGUGUUAUAAUAUCUAUUACUAAUUCUUUGAAAUUUUUUAAAAAUCCAUAUCAGAUUAUUUCCCUCCUCUGCCCAAAUUCUCCCUUGGCUCCCAGCUCCCUCAGAAUAAAAGUCAAAGCCUUUGCCGUGGCCCAAAAGUCUCUACCCAGCCUGUCCCCAGCCCCUCUCUGACUUCAUGUCCUGUCACUGUCCCCCAUCACUUACUCAUCCCCAGCCACGCUGGCCUACUCGCUCUCCCUCAAACAUGUCAGGUACCCUCCCUCUUCAGAGCCUUUGUACUUGCUGCUCUCACUGCCUGGAACAGUCUUCUUCCCAGAUAAUCUGGUGGCUUGCCCGCCCACUUCCAGUAUGCUCAAGUGACACCUCCCUAGAGAACCAUUCCCUGACCAGCGUAUCUAAACUAGUCCCAUUCACCUGUACUUUCCAUCCCCUUAUCUUACUUUAUGUCUUACGUUUUUCUACAAAGAACUGAUCACCACCUGAUAUAUUUCAUAUUUAUUUAUUGUGAUUAGUGUUUGCCUCUCCCCAAUAGACUGUAAGCUCCACAAAGCAGGGACUUUUGUUUUGUUCACUGUUGUAUCCCUACUGCCAAGAACAGUGCAUAGUAAUAUUUAGUAGAUGCUCAAUAAAUAUUUG